AACGAACGCUGGCGGCAGGCUUAACACAUGCAAGUCGAGCGCCCCGCAAGGGGAGCGGCAGACGGGUGAGUAACGCGUGGGAAUCUACCGUGCCCUACGGAAUAGCUCCGGGAAACUGGAAUUAAUAUCGUAUACGCCCUACGGGGGAAAGAUUUAUCGGGGUAUGAUGAGCCCGCGUUGGAUUAGCUAGUUGGUGGGGUAAAGGCCUACCAAGGCGACGAUCCAUAGCUGGUCUGAGAGGAUGAUCAGCCACAUUGGGACUGAGACACGGCCCAAACCCCUACGGGAGGCAGCAGUGGGGAAUAUUGGACAAUGGGCGCAAGCCUGAUCCAGCCAUGCCGCGUGAGUGAUGAAGGUCUUAGGAUUGUAAAGCUCUUUCACCGGUGAAGAUAAUGACGGUAACCGGAGAAGAAGCCCCGGCUAACUUCGUGCCAGCAGCCGCCGUAAUAC
rnacentral:rRNA from 1 species